GAUGAACGCUGGCGGCGUGCCUAAUACAUGCAAGUCGAGCGAACAGAUGAGGAGCUUGCUCCUCUGACGUUAGCGGCGGACGGGUGAGUAACACGUGGAUAACCUACCUAUAAGACUGGGAUAACUUCGGGAAACCGGAGCUAAUACCGGAUAAUAUAUUGAACCGCAUGGUUCAAUAGUGAAAGACGGUUUUGCUGUCACUUAUAGAUGGAUCCGCGCCGCAUUAGCUAGUUGGUAAGGUAACGGCUUACCAAGGCAACGAUGCGUAGCCGACCUGAGAGGGUGAUCGGCCACACUGGAACUGAGACACGGUCCAGACUCCUCGGGAGGCAGCAGUAGGGAAUCUUCCGCAAUGGGCGAAAGCCUGACGGAGCAACGCCGCGUGAGUGAUGAAGGUCUUCGGAUCGUAAAACUCUGUUAUUAGGGAAGAACAAAUGUGUAAGUAACUAUGCACGUCUUGACGGUACCUAAUCAGAAAGCCACGGCUAACUACGUG
rnacentral:rRNA from 1 species